rnacentral:rRNA from 1 species
ACAUGCCUACAACAUAGUGUUAAUGCAUUAGAUACCAUUAGAACUAUGUAGUUAAGCACGCUCGGGCUAGAGUAGUACUGGGAUGGGUGAUCGUCUGGGAAGUCCUACUAUUUUACAUGUC